rnacentral:misc_RNA from 1 species
CUUUUCCUUUUUGUUAAAUCUCAAGACAAAAUUGUCUGAUAUCUAAUUGUAGAAUCAAGAAGAAAAAUAAGCACAACAUCUAAAGAACGAACAGUGUACUCGACCACAAGAACUGGAUAUUCAUCAAAACACAUUACACAAAACAUUUGAGUCUGGCAAAUGUCAAAUAGCCUGUAUGACCUCUUGCCUCACCAGAAGGCCUAAUCACCACCGCAGGAGAAGAGGAGCAUUCAGUCCCAUUGCUUCCUUCAGCAGAACCCUGCCUCCUCUUCCGUGGAGGACGCUCAAUAGAAUCUCCUUCAUUUACUGGGCAGCCCUCUAGUAUCUUUUGUCUAACUUCAUAGGUGCGAAGAAGUACUUCAAAUGUUCUUAUAUCUGUAAACUGUGAUUUGAGUGCUUCACAUGAGCGCUGUACUUGCUCAAUGCAUGGAGAG